rnacentral:rRNA from 1 species
CGAACGCUGGCGGCAUGCCUAACACAUGCAAGUCGAACGAGACCUUCGGGUCUAGUGGCGCACGGGUGCGUAACGCGUGGGAACCUGCCUUUAGGUUCGGAAUAACUCAGAGAAAUUUGAGCUAAUACCGGAUAAUGUCUUCGGACCAAAGAUUUAUCGCCUUUAGAUGGGCCCGCGUUGGAUUAGCUAGUUGGUGGGGUAAAGGCCUACCAAGGCGACGAUCCAUAGCUGGUCUGAGAGGAUGAUCAGCCACACUGGGACUGAGACACGGCCCAGACUCCUACGGGAGGCAGCAGUGGGGAAUAUUGGACAAUGGGCGAAAGCCUGAUCCAGCAAUGCCGCGUGAGUGAUGAAGGCCUUAGGGUUGUAAAGCUCUUUUACCCGAGAUGAUAAUGACAGUAUCGGGAGAAUAAGCUCCGGCUAACUCCGUG